rnacentral:rRNA from 1 species
AUUGAACGCUGGCGGCAUGCUUUACACAUGCAAGUCGAACGGUAACAGGCCUUCGGGUGCUGACGAGUGGCGAACGGGUGAGUAAUGCAUCGGAACGUGCCCAAUCGUGGGGGAUAACGUAGCGAAAGUUACGCUAAUACCGCAUAAGCCCUGAGGGGGAAAGUGGGGGACCGCAAGGCCUCACGCGAAUGGAGCGGCCGAUGUCAGAUUAGCUAGUUGGUGGGGUAAAGCCCACCAAGGCGACGAUCUGUAGCGGGUCUGAGAGGAUGAUCCGCCACACUGGGACUGAGACACGGCCCAGACUCCUACGGGAGGCAGCAGUGGGGAAUUUUGGACAAUGGGCGCAAGCCUGAUCCAGCCAUGCCGCGUGCGGGACGAAGGCCU